rnacentral:lncRNA from 1 species
CUUGAGACAACAGGUUCACUGAUCACAGAGAAAAUUUCUUUUCCCUCAGAGUUUAGGCACCUUCAGGUCUGUGCUGUCACCAAUAUCCUUACUGCUACUGCCAUGGAGCAGGGAUUCAAGAUAACCAAAGGAAGACAAAGGUAAAGAAAAAUAAGAAGUUUUCUCCACUCUCUCUGAGCACUCAAAGAUUGUUUUUUUCACAUCUUGAGCCAGAACUAGAAGACUUCCAUUGCUCUCUCUCUUUCUAUAUCAAUACCCACUUCUGGGAUUCAGGCUUCCUUGGACCCAGGCUGGCAGAUGGAGAGCAAAAAAUGAAAAUACAGAAUUAUCUACAAUAGCCAAGAAGUGGAAGCAACCCAAGUGUCCACCAAACGACAGAUGGAUAAAGAAAAUGAGGGACAAAAUGGCAGCAGCCAGCCUGACCAUUCCCUUCCCAUCAUGAGGGAGAGGGCUGUGGUAUGGACAGCAGCAGCUGACUGGCCACAGGUGCAGCCACUGCCAUCCAGCCCCGACUCAUUCCUAGAAUAAGAACCACCAGACUGCCCUCUGACACCUGCCUCAGCGGUCCCCACCACUCCUCAAACCCUGUCACCGUCCACAGACAAGCCCUGGAGGGGUGGGGAAAAGGUUUCAUUGUGAGAAACCACUGGGGAUCCUGAAGUUAAAACUCAUCAAAGUGUGGGGAAAACUAAGACUGGCCUAGCAGGAUUUUUACUCUCAAGCUAAUCUACACUCAACCUCAAAGAAUUUAUUAAAAUUCACAUUUAACCAUCUUAUCAGUAUACAUCUUCAAGAGCUUUCGUUUCUGGUACAAAAGUUUCAGCUGCAGUUACUUGUAUUCAUCUGUCUCUUCAGAUUUCGAGGUGGUGGUCUGUCUUGUGAGCUCAAGUCUCUGGUGAUUCUAAUAAAUGUCAUUGAUUUUUUAAGUCUUCUCAGAUUUAUUUCUUGUUUUUAGGAUGGGAGUGGUGACUUCCAAGCUUUUUACAUGUGAAAGGUAAACCAAAGUCAACGUGAAUCUCCUCUUCAUGUCUACAACUGAGCAACAGGUUUUUCAAACCUUGUAGCUCAACCCCUACUAUCUGACAGUCUUUCAGACACAGCUAAGAGUCUAUAUAUCUUUCUGUUUCACAACCUCGCUCUGAUACUCUCUGUGUGUUUCAUCAUUCUAUCUUUUAGCAUGGUUAGGAUGAUCCUCACCUAGAAUGGAGAAACCUCCAGAGAUUUGAAUCUGAGAAAACUAAGUUUCCUUGAUUCUUCAGUGUUUUUUCUGACUACUCAAUAGCAG